rnacentral:rRNA from 1 species
AGAGUUUGAUCCUGGCUCAGAUUGAACGCUGGCGGCAUGCCUAACACAUGCAAGUCGAACGGCAGCACAGUAGAGCUUGCUCUAUGGGUGGCGAGUGGCGGACGGGUGAGUAAUGCAUCGGGAUCUACCCAAACGUGGGGGAUAACGUAGGGAAACUUACGCUAAUACCGCAUACGUCCUACGGGAGAAAGCGGGGGACCGAAAGGCCUCGCGCGGUUGGACGAACCGAUGUGCGAUUAGCUAGUUGGUAGGGUAAUGGCCUACCAAGGCGACGAUCGCUAGCUGGUCUGAGAGGAUGAUCAGCCACACUGGAACUGAGACACGGUCCAGACUCCUACGGGAGGCAGCAGUGGGGAAUAUUGGACAAUGGGCGCAAGCCUGAUCCAGCAAUGCCGCGUGUGUGAAGAAGGCCUUCGGGUUGUAAAGCACUUUUAUCAGGAGCGAAAUACUACUGGCUAAUAACCGGUGGGGCUGACGGUACCUGAGGAAUAAGCACCGGCUAACUUCGUGCCAGCAGCCGCGGUAAU